rnacentral:rRNA from 1 species
CCUACGGGAGGCAGCAGUGGGGAAUAUUGCACAAUGGGCGGAAGCCUGAUGCAGCGACGCCGCGUGAGGGAUGACGGCCUUCGGGUUGUAAACCUCUUUCAGUAGGGAAGAAGCGAAAGUGACGGUACCUGCAGAAGAAGCGCCGGCUAACUACGUGCCAGCAGCCGCGGUAAUACGUAGGGCGCAAGCGUUAUCCGGAAUUAUUGGGCGUAAAGAGCUCGUAGGCGGUUUGUCGCGUCUGCCGUGAAAGUCCGGGGCUCAACUCCGGAUCUGCGGUGGGUACGGGCAGACUAGAGUGAUGUAGGGGAGACUGGAAUUCCUGGUGUAGCGGUGAAAUGCGCAGAUAUCAGGAGGAACACCGAUGGCGAAGGCAGGUCUCUGGGCAUUAACUGACGCUGAGGAGCGAAAGCAUGGGGAGCGAGCAGGAUUAGAUACCCUGGUAGUCCAUGCGUAACGUUAGGUCGACGUAGGUGGUGGGGUACGAUCCUACCGUUUCCGUUACCGUACGUACUACGACAUUAAGUACGCCCCGCCGUCGGGUAGGUACGGCCGGCGACGGACGUAAACGUUAAACUAGUAAGUUAGACGGCGUGAGACGUGCCGACGGACGACGACGAGGGAGGUAGG